rnacentral:rRNA from 1 species
GACGAACGCUGGCGGCGUGCUUAACACAUGCAAGUCGAACGGAAAGGCCCUGCUUUUGUGGGGUGCUCGAGUGGCGAACGGGUGAGUAACACGCGAGUAACCUGUCCUUGACUUUGGGAUAACUUCAGGAAACUGGGGCUAAUAUCGGAUAGGAGCUCCUGCUGCAUGGUGGGGGUUGGAAAGUUUCGGCGGUUGGGGAUGGACUCGCGGCUUAUGCGCUUGUUGGUGGGGUAGUGGCUUACCAAGGCUUUGACGGGUAGCCGGCCUGAGAGGGUGACCGGCCACAUUGGGACUAAGAGACGGCGCAGACUCCUACGGGAGGCAGCAGUGGGGAAUAUUGCGCAAUGGGCGGGAGCCUGAUGCAACAACGCCGCGUGCGGGAUGACGGCCUUCGGGUUGUGAACCGCUUUCGCCUGUGACGAGGCGUGAGUGACGGUAAUGGGUAAAGAAGCACCGGCUAACUACGUG